GGUUGUGGCUCAGUGGUAGAGUGCUCGUCUCGCACGUAUGAGACCUGGGUUCUAGCCUUAGCACCA
rnacentral:tRNA from 1 species